rnacentral:rRNA from 1 species
GUGUCAGCCGCCGCGGUAACACGUAGGGGGCAAGCGUUGUUCGGAAUUACUGGGCGUAAAGGGCAUGUAGGCGGCUUUGUAAGCCCGGCGUGGAAGCCCACGGCUCAACCGUGGGAUUGCGUUGGGAACUGCGAGGCUUGAAUCAUGGAGAGGGAGCUAGAAUUCCUGGUGUAGGGGUGAAAUCUGUAGAGAUCAGGAAGAAUACCAGUGGCGAAGGCGAGCUCCUGGCCAAUGAUUGACGCUGAGGUGCGAAAGUGUGGGGAUCAAACAGGAUUAGAAACCCCGGUAGUCC